rnacentral:misc_RNA from 1 species
GAACGCACCUUGCGCCCUUUGGUCUUUCCAAUGGGCAUGCCUGUUUGAGUAUCGUGAACACCUCAACUCUCAUGGUUUGCCAUGAUGAGCUUGGACUUUGGGGGUCUUGCUGGCCUGUGGUCGGCUCCUCUCAAACAGAUCAGCUUGCCAGUGUUUGGUGGCACCACGGGUGUGAUAACUAUCUACGCUUGUGGUUUUCCACCAGAUAACCUUCAGCGAUGGAGGUUCACUGGAGCUCAUAAAUGUCUCUCCUCAGCGAAGACAGCUCUUUGAACGUUUGAUCUCAAAUCAGGUAGGACUACCCGCUGAACUUA